rnacentral:rRNA from 1 species
UACGUAGGGACCAAGCGUUGUUCGGAUUUACUGGGCGUAAAGGGCGCGUAGGCGGCAUGACAAGUCACUUGUGAAAUCUCCGGGCUUAACUCGGAACGGCCAAGUGAUACUGUCGCGCUAGAGUGCGGAAGGGGCAAUCAGAAUUCUUGGUGUAGCGGUGAAAUGCGUAGAUAUCAAGAGGAACACCGGUGGCGAAGGCGGCUUUCUGGACAGUAACUGACGCUGAGGCGCGAAAGCCGGGGGAGCAAACAGG